CAUCGCCUACGGGACGCAGCAGUGGGGAAUAUUGGUCAAUGGGCGAGAGCCUGAACCAGCCACGUCGCGUGAAGGAUGACGGCCCUACGGGUUGUAAACUUCUUUUGUCAGGGAGCAAUUGGGUCCACGCGUGGGCUUAGCGAGAGUACCUGACGAAAAAGCAUCGGCUAACUCCGUGCCAGCAGCCGCGGUAAUACGGAGGAUGCGAGCGUUACCCGGAUUUAUUGGGUUUAAAGGGUGCGUAGGCGGAAUAUCAAGUCAGCGGUAAAAAUUCGGGGCUCAACCCCGUCGUGCC
rnacentral:rRNA from 1 species